GACGAACGCUGGCGGCGUGCUUAACACAUGCAAGUCGAGCGGUAAGGCCCUUUCGGGGUACACGAGCGGCGAACGGGUGAGUAACACGUGGGUGACCUGCCCUCAGCUCUGGGAUAAGCCUGGGAAACCGGGUCUAAUACUGGAUAUGACUCCAUGACGCAUGUUGGUGGGGUGGAAAGCCUUGUGCGGCUGAGGAUGGGCCCGCGGCCUAUCAGCUUGUUGGUGGGGUGAGGCCUACCAAAGGCGACGACGGGUAGCCGGCCUGAGAGGGCGACCGGCCACACUGGGACUGAGACACGGCCCAGACU
rnacentral:rRNA from 1 species